UAAAACAUAGAGUUAAUGCAUCAGAUGCCAUUAGUACUUCGUAGUUAAGCGUGCUCAAUCUAGAGUAGUACUGGGAUGGGUGAUCGCCUGAGAAAUCCUAGUGUUUUAC
rnacentral:rRNA from 1 species